UUACAUAACUCAACUCAACUCAACUCAACUAAGCCUUUAUCCCAAAAAUUUGGGGUCGGCAUUUAUUUGCCACUCAUUCUCAACAUGUUUAUGUUCUUUUAAUCAAGUUGCCGGUUUGAAUGGGAUGUUUCAAAAAUUUUUAACUUAAAAACUAAUCAAAAUUAUGUUACAUUUGAUAGAUUUUUAAUAAAAUAAAAUUCUGAUUAAUAAAAAAAUGUAAGAAAAUUUAAGCACAAUUUUAAAAAUCAUUUUUUGCAUAUGAAUACAUAUGAUAUACUUGAAAUAAAUAAUUUUAAAAUAUAAGUGGGUCCCAUUAUAUAUUUUAUAUCUGAAAUUCACAGUAAAUAGGUUCUAAACAAGUGGAUCAAAGCGGAUAAUUUCUCUAGUGGUUGGAGCAGGGGCAUUACACUAUAUAUUUAACCAUGAGUCAGGAUGGCUGGGAAGUUCUCCAUUGACAAAACCGUGAGAGUUAGGAUGGGGCCGGGGUUAAGCUUGCUCGCUUAAGAGAAAUUCUAGGAUAGGUAAAACCUGGGAAGUUUUUAUUGAAAUGGGGAAAACUAAUCACUAGAGGCAUCUUUGGCCUGGAGUAUUGGAAGAACUUAGGAUGGCGAGACUACUUAGGGUAAUGGAAUGCGGGGCACAGGAAUGAAUCGAAUCAUAGAAAACGCGGUCCGAUGAAAGAGGGAAGUAGCAUGAGAGAGUAAACUCCCGGCAAGCUUUUUCUCCCGUUUUGAUGUGGGAUUGGAUUCGGCCACUCAGUGGCUCCGCUCUAAACGCUGACAUUCCAUGAAAAAUGCUCGUCUAAUGAUUAGUUCUUCCAUUUUAUAUAUUAUUAUAUUCGAUGGAAUAGAGAAAUUUUCAGGAGGUCAUCCAUCAUAGAAUUUUUCCAACUUUUCAAGCCUAAAAAAAUUAUUCACUUUGGUCAUAAGCUCACUCACGGUUUUGUUGGUUUUGUCCAUACUAUUAUAGAUUUAAAAUAGAAUUAUGUGGAACCUAUAUGUAAUGUCCUUACUCCAACCAUGAAUCAAUAAUUUUCGCCCCUCAAAAAUAAAUUUUUUGGCUCCGCCCUUGACACCCAAUCCUUCAAAGUAUACAAUUAAUAAGAAAUGUAUAGGAAAUAAAUAUAAUUGACUAAUGUAUUGAAAAAAAUUAUAAUUUAAUUACACUUUGUUAUGAUAUUUUUGAAAAUAUAAUAUUAACAAUAUUAGAAUUAUUUAUUUUUUAUUAUAUGUUCAAAAAUUUUCUAUAGUAUUAGCCCUUUUAGUUAUUGGCCUCUUUAAAAAAUUAUUAUAUUAUUUUAUUAAAAUAUAAGUAAUGUAAUCUGUAUACAUAUAUAUAUUUAGAGAAAAAGUAAUUUAUUUUAGAUAAAAUUAUUUUAUUACAGGGGCGAAGGGAUAGGGAGAUUAGGGGAGCCUUGGCCCCCAACCCUUUUAAAUUUUUAUUGAUCAAAUAUCCUCAUCACGCGUAGAGAAAUUAUAUAUGCAUGAGAAAUUCUUGCUUGGCAUUGCCUUGGUUGACGAGGUGUUUUUUUUUCUUAUCUAAUUAAAUAUUUGAAAUUGACUCAGUCCUCACUCCUUUGCAUCUAUCAUUUGCCCUGUGCGUGAGCGCGCUUUGUUUCUGCUUUCUUUCACAUGCAGCGGCGCCUCGUGUUGUUGAAGGUAACUAGUUGCGUUUACUCAUCAAAUGCCAUUCAACUCUUUUGCACGUGCUCCCCUUCUCCAACAUGGUUUCCUCACCCUUUUAUAGUGGGUGGGCAGUUCCUGUUGGAGAAGCAGGGCACGUGCAGAUGCCAUGGCUUCU
rnacentral:precursor_RNA from 1 species